rnacentral:rRNA from 1 species
GACGAACGCUGGCGGCGUGCUUAACACAUGCAAGUCGAACGGAAAGGCCCUGCUUUUGUGGGGUGCUCGAGUGGCGAACGGGUGAGUAACACGUGAGUAACCUGCCCUUGACUUUGGGAUAACUUCAGGAAACUGGGGCUAAUACAGGAUAGGAGCUCCUGCUGCAUGGUGGGGGUUGGAAAGUUUCGGCGGUUGGGGAUGGACUCGCGGCUUAUCAGCUUGUUGGUGGGGUAGUGGCUUACCAAGGCUUUGACGGGUAGCCGGCCUGAGAGGGUGACCGGCCACAUUGGGACUGAGAUACGGCCCAGACUCCUCCGGGAGGCAGCAGUGGGGAAUAUUGCACAAUGGGCGGAAGCCUGAUGCAGCAACGCCGCGUGCGGGAUGACGGCCUUCGGGUUGUAAACCGCUUUCGCCUGUGACGAAGCGUGAGUGACGGUAAUGGGUAAAGAAGCACCGGCUAACUACGUG